rnacentral:rRNA from 1 species
AUUGAACGCUGGCGGCAUGCUUUACACAUGCAAGUCGAACGGUAACAGGUUAAGCUGACGAGUGGCGAACGGGUGAGUAAUGCAUCGGAACGUGCCCGAUCGUGGGGGAUAACGCAGCGAAAGCUGCGCUAAUACCGCAUACGAUCUGAGGAUGAAAGCGGGGGACCGUAAGGCCUCGCGCGAUCGGAGCGGCCGAUGUCAGAUUAGGUAGUUGGCGGGGUAAAGGCCCACCAAGCCGACGAUCUGUAGCUGGUCUGAGAGGACGACCAGCCACACUGGGACUGAGACACGGCCCAGACUCCUACGGGAGGCAGCAGUGGAGAAUUUUGGACAAUGGGCGAAAGCCUGAUCCAGCAAUGCCGCGUGCAGGAAGAAGGCCUUCGGGUUGUAAACUGCUUUUGUACGGAGCGAAAAGGUCCUUUCUAAUACAAGGGGCUCAUGACGGUACCGUAAGAAUAAGCACCGGCUAACUACGUGCCAGCCGCCGCAGUAAAAC